rnacentral:rRNA from 1 species
UACGGGGGGGGCAAGCGUUGUUCGGAAUUACUGGGCGUAAAGGGCUCGUAGGCGGCCAACUAAGUCAGACGUGAAAUCCCCAGGCUCAACCUGGGAACUGCGUCUGAUACUGGAUGGCUUGAAUCCGGGAGAGGGAUGCAGAAUUCCAGGUGUAGCGGUGAAAUGCGUAGAUAUCGGGAGGAACAUCGAUGGCGAAGGCAAUCACCUGGGCCUGAACUGACACUGAGACACGAAAGCGUGGGUAGCAAACAGG